GUCCCUUCGGGGCAUCCGAUAAAAUUGGAAGGAUACAGAGAAGAUUAGCAUGGCCCCUACGCAAGGAUGACAGGCACAAAUCGAGAAAUGAUCCAAAUUUUU
rfam:Triticum aestivum genome assembly, contig: Triticum_aestivum_CS42_TGACv1_scaffold_404550_5BL